rnacentral:rRNA from 1 species
UACGAAGGGGGCUAGCGUUGUUCGGAAUCACUGGGCGUAAAGGGCGCGUAGGCGGCUUUUCAAGUCGGGGGUGAAAGCCUGUGGCUCAACCGCAGAAUUGCCUUCGAUACUGUUAGGCUUGAGACCGGAAGAGGUGAGUGGAACUGCGAGUGUAGAGGUGAAAUUCGUAGAUAUUCGCAAGAACACCAGUGGCGAAGGCGGCUCACUGGCCCGAUACUGACGCUGAGGUGCGAAAGCGUGGGGAGCAAACAGG